rnacentral:rRNA from 1 species
GUUUGCUUUUAGGUUAGCAAAAUUAUAAACUUUCUGUUAGUGCCAUUAGUUUUAGAAAAAUUAUAAACUUUCUAUUAGUGCCAUUAGUUUUCAAAUUUGAAAACACUUUUUGUGAUUAACUUACUAAAAAAUGAGAAUAUAUGCGCUUAUAGAGAAAACUUGAUGCACUUCGUGUAUAAAAUGGACAAUCACUUUCAAAUGAACUCUGAAAAAGUUGAAAGUUGGGAUGGUAUCAUAAUUUCACCCACAUAGCAUGUGCAUGUACAAAACGGACAAUGGUAGCAUGUUUGUGUGUUACAAAGUUGGCAUGGUAUCAUCAUAAUAGUUGCGGAAGAAAGUUUUCACUUUUUCCUCGCUUGUGUCAUUUGCUUAUUGCGUCGUAACCAUGGAUAAUCUUCAUUGUUUAUCAGGAUGCUUGGGUCAGCCUUGACAUUGAAGGGAGGAAUUUCAUGAAAGUUUUCAUAAUCUUCAGACAUGUCUGUCUUGCCAUCCACUCCCAGGAUGUCCCUUUUUCCUGAAAGAACUAUGUGGCGCUUUGGCUCAUCGUAUGAUGUAUUCGCUUCCUUAUCUUUUCUUUUUCUCGGUUUGGUAGACAUGUCCUUCACAUAGAUAACAUGUGCCACAUCAUUGGCUAGGACGAACGGUUCGUCAGUGUACCCAAGAUUUUUCAGAUCCACUGUUGUCAUUCUGUACUGUGGGUCUACCUGUACCCCGCCGCCUAACAGAUUGACCCAUUUGCACUUAAACAAAGGGACCUUAAAAUCAGGUCCGUAGUCAAGUUCCCAUAUGUCCACUAUGUAACCAUAAUAUGUAUCCUUUCCGCUCUCGGUUGCUGCAUCAAAGCGGACACCGCUAUUUUGGUUGGUGCUCUUUUGAUCUUGGGAGAUCGUGUAAAAUGUAUUCUCAUUUAUCUCGUAUAAAAUCCUUUGUAAGUCAAUACAGUCAAAGAUGGUCCCCUGGACAAUAAGUACAACUCAUCACAAACAGUGUUGUCACCUCUGAGACGUGUUUCCAACCAACUGCUGAAAGUCCUGAUGUGUUC